CAAAGUCACAUGAAUGAAAACAAAAUCGAAACAUGGAAAGUAAGAAAUGAUUCAUUUUGAGGAACAAUUUCUUCCUUUCUUAUCUCAGUUAUUCGAAUCUUACUCCAUGGAUUCCGUCUCAAAAGGUGGGAUAUUUGAAUCGAUAACUUGUUCACUCGGCUGAUUUAACAAUUGCUUCUUACGAUGCUUCUAAAUAAACCGGGAAAGUAAUAGAAAACAAUUGUAAAUCGACCGAGUUAACAAUCUUAUCAGUUUAAAAAUCCCUCCCUUGAGACAGAAUCAAUGAGAUUAUGUGGACUAAGUUUCAAUAAAAUGUAGAGAAAGUACCUCAUAAUCGUGCAACGGAACAAUUGGAGAUGGUAUCUUUCCAUUAGAAAUCCUUUAAAUCUAUUAGAAAGAAUCAAUAAAGA
rnacentral:rRNA from 1 species